ACACGACUACAUUAGAUACCCCCGUAGUCCCAGCCCUAAACGAUGCGCGUUAGGUGUAUCGGUGACCACGAGUCACCGAGGUGCCGAAGGGAAACCGUGAAACGUGCCGCCUGGGAAGUACGGUCGCAAGGCUGAAACUUAACGGAAUUGGCGGGGGAGCACCACAACGGGUGGAGCCUGCGGUUUAAUCGGACUCAACGCCGGGAAUCUCACCGGAUAAGACAGCUGAAUGAUAGUCGGGAUGAAGACUCUACUUGACUAGCUG
rnacentral:rRNA from 1 species